rnacentral:SRP_RNA from 1 species
CCUUAAGACCUGUGCAAUAGGCAACUGGGUUACCGUGUCAGGGUGGGAACACAGCAGCACGAUUCUUUGGUUUAUGUGCCGCAGUAAUCUUAAGGGGA